GACGAACGCUGGCGGCGUGCUUAACACAUGCCAGUCGAACGGAAAGGCCCUGCUUUUGUGGGGUGCUCGAGUGGCGAACGGGUGAGUAACACGUGAGUAACCUGCCCUUGACUUUGGGAUAACUUCAGGAAACUGGGGCUAAUACCGGAUAGGAGCUCCUGCUGCAUGGUGGGGGUUGGAAAGUUUCGGCGGUUGGGGAUGGACUCGCGGCUUAUCAGCUUGUUGGUGGGGUAGUGGCUUACCAAGGCUUUGACGGGUAGCCGGCCUGAGAGGGUGACCGGCCACAUUGGGACGGAGAUACGGCCCAGACUCCAACGGGAGGCAGCAGUGGGGAAUAGUGCACAAUGGGCGGAAGCCUGAUGCAGCAACGCCGCGUGCGGGAUGACGGCCUUCGGUUUGUAAACCGCUUUCGCCUGUGACGAAGCGAGAGUGACGGUAAUGGGUAAAGAAGCACCGGCUAACUACGUG
rnacentral:rRNA from 1 species